rnacentral:rRNA from 1 species
AUUGAACGCUGGCGGCAUGCUUUACACAUGCAAGUCGAACGGCAGCGCGGGCUUCGGCCUGGCGGCGAGUGGCGAACGGGGGAGUAAUGCAUCGGAACGUGCCCAGUAGUGGGGGAUAGCCCGGCGAAAGCCGGAUUAAUACCGCAUACGACCUGAGGGUGAAAGCGGGGGACCGAAAGGCCUCGCGCUAUAGGAGCGGCCGAUGUCGGAUUAGCUAGUUGGUGGGGUAAAGGCUUACCAAGGCGACGAUCCGUAGCUGGUCUGAGAGGACGACCAGCCACCCUGGGACUGAGCCACGGCCCAGACUCCUACGUGAGGCAGCAGUGGGCAAUUUUGGACAAUGGGGGCAACCCUGCUCCAGCCGUGCCGCGUGCGGGAAGAAGGCCUUCGGGUUGUAAACCGCUUUUGUUCGGGAAGAAAUCCUCUGGGCUAAUACCCCGGGGGGAUGACGGUACCGGAAGAAUAAGCACCGGCUAACUACGUG